CUCCAUCAGAAUAGUCUCUCAUCAUAUAUGUGAAACAUAUUUUAAAUUGGUAAUUGAUGUAGGAGUGCCCAGCUUAUUGGGGGCAGUGUUCCUUCUAGGCAGUGGUACAUUACACAUCAUGAAGAACAAGCCAGUAAGCAGAGUUCCUUGAGUGACUUUGUUUAAGUUGCAUUAUUCAGACCUUGUCUUCCCUUGAUUGUAACUCAUGAGCCAAAUCUAACUUUUCUUCCUCACUUUCUUUAUAGUUAGUGUUCAAUUACAUCAACUUAGUAUUCAAGUAUGUGUAAAGGCAUACAAAACCAGGAAAAUACAAGCUGAAAUAUCAGAAUACCAAAAUAAUGUCAACAAGUUUAGGACAACAAAUCUUAAGAAACUAAGUGGAAAUAGAAAAAAACAAAACAAAACAGCUGCAUAUGAUCACCACUAUUGCAUUUUCGUGAGGAGAUGCUGAGUUCCUGUAUAGUGAGCUGGAAGAUGGAGGGUUUCCUAAGAGAGAAGUCUUUACAAAGCCGUGUCUUCAAGUAGCUUCUUGGAAUCUGUCCUCAGUUGGAUUUCAUUUGUAAAUUAAGACACCAAGAACCAAUAGCUGGGAAGGACCGAAAGAGUCUACUUUUAGCCUUCCCAGGGCUUGGAACCAUGAGAAGGAGGAAGGGAGAGGUCUGCCUGCUGGAUACUUGGAGUGCCAACAGAGGAGAGGCUGACUCCCAUAAGGACCUGAUCCUUCAGUUGGGAUGUUGAAGUCUGUUGGAAGUUCUUAAUCAAGACUCAGGAAUGUCCACAAAAGAUAAAGGCAGGAAGACGAUGGUCUUAAAACCCAUACCCAAAGUGACACACCUACUCCAACAAGGCUACUAUUCCAAAUAGUGCCAAUACAUGGGUGAAGUAUAUACAAACCCUCACAUUCUGUGAGUGCAUAAAUAACAGAAAUUGGACUUUUAACCAUAAUUUUUUCUUGUUUUUCUUUUUUUUUCCAAGCUGGGGACUGAACCCAGGGCCUUGUGCUUGCUAGGCAAGCACUCUCCCACUAAUCUCCAACCCCUUAACCAUAAUUUUUUUAAAAUAAAUAUUUGUACAGUGCUAUCAUGGAGAAGCAAAAUGAGACAAUUGGAAAUUUAAUAUGAUCAUGGUGCAUGAUAUGAAAUUUCGAAUGAAUCAAUAAAAAUUAUGUGAAAAAUAAACUAGACUCUUUUUUUAUGAUUUUUGAGUACAGGUGACCACAAACAUUCAAACAUCACUAAAAAUAUUCUGUAUAU
rnacentral:sRNA from 1 species